GACAGGGUCACUUUCGUGACCAAUGUCAGUAAUUUUAGGAUUACAUAAUUAAGCAUUUGUUUUGUAGUUAAAACUGUUUUACUGCAAAUYUAAGAUAUGAUUUAGUCAAAAGGGCUUAUUUUGUUGCUGUCACGAUAUCUUGGGAUUAGAACCUGAGUCAUGCAAUACUCAUGUGAUGUAAUUUCCUGUCACAUCAACAAGCAGAUAAUAAUCUUGUUUGAUAAUUGGAUUUAGUUUAACAUUGUCAAGUUGUCACAAGGGCAUGUUUCUUAGGCCUUAAACUAGAUUAGUUUGUGGCAUGUAAUACUAUUUUAAACUACUAGGAGUUACUAGCAAUUUACUCUAUUUGCUUUAGUCAUUUUGUUUCAUAUAGUAUUUAGGAUUUCUUAGCUACUAAUUAGAUUUAAGGCAGGGUCUAAUUGUAGGAUUUAUAGGAAUGCAUGACAUAUUUCCUGUAGGGCUUGCUAUGUUUACAUUUCCUGUGCAUGUUUUGCAGUUAGUAUAAAUAUAGGGUUAAAAUUAGUCUUCCCUUUGAGUUAGUUGGGUGUAGCUCCCCAGUGAGGGCAUAGCUCUCAGAGGAUGCCCCUCUGGUUAUGCUGUAUUGUGCUCGUAAGAAUGUAACUCAUUCCCGUUUUGACAGUACCGUUUUACGAUACAGUUGUUUAGUAUAUUGCUUUAGUGCAUUUAGUAGUUCUCGCUAUGAAUCAGAUUUAGCUUUCAAUUAGUUUUUACACUUACUUUUUCUGAUAAUGGUCUCUGGGCAACCAUUGCCAUUACUGUAUAUUUGUAAUUAGUUCUAUUGUUAAUGUGUUUUUAGGUUUUUGUGUAAUAAACAUUGUUAUAAGACCA